rnacentral:rRNA from 1 species
UACGGAGGGAGCGAGCGUUGUCCGAAGUUACUGGGCGUAACGCGCGCGUAGGCGGGGAAUUAAGUGAGCAGUGAAAGGCUGGGGCUCAACCCCAUGCAGUGCUUCUCAUACUGGUUCUCUUGAGGGUGGUAGAGAGAAGUGGAAUGGCUGGUGUAGCGGUGAAAUGCGUAGAGAUUAGGAAGAACACCAGUGGCGAAGGCGACUUACUGGACUGUAACUGACGCUGAGGCAUGAAAGCGUGGGGAGCAAACAGG